CUACGGGUUGCACCAGUGGGGAAUACUGCGCAAUGGGCGAAAGCCUGACGCAGCGACGCCGCGUGGAGGAUGAAGGUCUUCGGAUUGUAAACUUCUGUUGGGUGGGAAGAAAAUACUGUCUCUAAUACAGGCAGGGAAUGACGGUACCAUCAAAGAAAGCACUGGCUAACCUCGUGCCAGCAGCCGCGGUAAUACGAGGGGUGCAAGCGUUAUUCGGAAUCAUUGGGCGUAAAGGGUGCGUAGACGGUUUUUUAAGUCUAUUGUUUAAUCCUCCAGCUUAACUGGAGAAAGGCAGUGGAACUAAUUGACUAGAGGGUGAGAGAGAGAAGUGGAAUUCCUGGAGUAGCGGUCAAAUGCGUAGAUCUCAGGAGGAACACCGAUGGCGAAGGCAGCUUCUUGGCUCAUUCCUGACGUUGAGGCACGAAAGCGUGGGGAGCAAACAGGAUUAGAUACCCCAGUAGUC
rnacentral:rRNA from 1 species